GUGGAUUAGAUACCCUGGUAGUCCACGCUGUAAACGAUGGAUGCUAGCCGUUGGCGAGCUUGCUCGUCAGUGGCGCAGCUAACGCUUUAAGCAUCCCGCCUGGGGAGUACGGUCGCAAGAUUAAAACUCAAAGGAAUUGACGGGGGCCCGCACAAGCGGUGGAGCAUGUGGUUCAAUUCGAAGCAACGCGCAGAACCUUACCAGCCCUUGACAUGUCCUCUAUGGAUUCCAGAGACGGAGUCCUUCACUUCGGGUGGGAGGAACACAGGUGCUGCACGGUCGUCGACAACU
rnacentral:rRNA from 1 species